UUUACUCCAGCCUGAUACUGGGAUUCGGUAUUGCAUGUACAGGAUAGGUGGGAGGCUGAGAAACGGUAACGUCAGUUGCCGCGGAGCCGCUGUUGGGAUACCACCCUUGCAGUACUGGGUUUCUAACCUGCGCCCGUGACCCGGGCGGGGGACAAUGUCAGGCGGGGAGUUUGACUGGGGCGGUCGCCUCCGAAAGGGUAUCGGAGGCGCUCAAAGGUUCCCUCAGAAUGGACGGAAACCAUUCGAAGAGUGCAAAGGCAGAAGGGAGCUUGACUGCGACACCGACGGGUGGAGCAGGUACGAAAGUAGGACUUAGUGAUCCGGUGGUAUAAAGUGGGAUUGCCAUCGCUCAACGGAUAAAAGCUACCCUGGGGAUAACAGGCUUAUCACUCCCAAGAGUUCACAUCGACGGAGUGGUUUGGCACCUCGAUGUCGGCUCAUCGCAUCCUGGGGCUGUAGUAGGUCCCAAGGGUUGGGCUGUUCGCCCAUUAAAGCGGUACGCGAGCUGGGUUCAGAACGUCGUGAGACAGUUCGGUCCCUAUCCGGCGCGGGCGGAGGAUAUUUGAGAGGAGCUGUCCUUAGUACGAGAGGACCGGGAUGGACGGACCACUGGUGUAUCUGUUGUCGACCAACGGCAUGGCAGAGUAGCCAAGUCUGGAAGGGAUAAACGCUGAAGGCAUCUAAGCGUGAAGCCCCCCUCAAGAUGAGAUAUCCCAUUCUUAGUGAAGUAAACCCCCUUGAAGACGACGAGGUAGAUAGGGCAGAGGUGGAAGUGUGGUAACACAUGGAGCUGACUGUUACUAAUCGGGUGAGGGCUUGACCAA
rnacentral:rRNA from 1 species